rnacentral:rRNA from 1 species
AACGAACGCUGGCGGCAUGCCUAACACAUGCAAGUCGAACGGUACCUUCGUUUCUGGUGGACACCAGGGGCGUAACGCGUGGGAACCUGCCAUCAAUCUCCGAAUAUCUCUCCGAAAAGGGCGCUAAACCCGGGCAAAUACCGCGGAUCACAGCUUUAUCCCCUUUGGGUGGGCGAGCAUUCGGUUAGCCAGGUGGUAGGGUGAAAGCAUACCAAAGCUUCGUUCCAUAGCUGGGAUGAGAGGAUGAUCCGCCACACUGGGACUAAGACACGGCCCCGACUCCUAGGCGAGGGAGCAGUGGAGAAUACAGGACAAUGGGCGAAAGCCUGAUCCAGCCAUGCCGGGUAAGUGAUGAAGGCCUUAGGGUUGUACAGCUCUUUUACACGAGGUGAUAGUGACAGUACCGGGAGAAUAAGGUCCGGCUAACUCCGUG